rnacentral:rRNA from 1 species
UACGGAGGGGGCUAGCGUUGUUCGGAAUUACUGGGCGUAAAGCGCGCGCAGGCGGUUGCUCAAGUCGGGCGUGAAAUCCCGGGGCUCAACCCCGGAACUGCGUUCGAGACUGGGCGACUCGAGUCCGGGAGAGGGUAGCGGAAUUCCCAGUGUAGAGGUGAAAUUCGUAGAUAUUGGGAAGAACACCGGUGGCGAAGGCGGCUACCUGGCCCGGUACUGACGCUGAGGCGCGACAGCGUGGGGAGCAAACAGGAUUAGAAACCCGAGUAGU